CCGCUACCCUGGCCAGGCUUGGCCGUGAACUAGAAGGUGAAGGGCAUGGUGAAGAAUGCCCACCCUGUUACAGUUCGCUGCCGGCGCAGCCUGGGUGUCGAUGGUCGUGGUGGUAUUUUAUGCGCUCCGCCCCAAAGAGAAACCUCAUCCUACUUAUAAUGCUGACCGCGAGCGUCCAGCAGUCAUGAGUCAGCCCUGCCGAACGUCACAGGAAUAGAUAAGUGCUCCGGAGCCUGAAAACAAAAACAAAAUCCCCUCAAGCAUUCCCGGCGCCAGAGGGUGGGCCGUGCUGUGCCCUAUCCCAACAAGUGUAAGGUGCUUGUUUACCAGCCCUUUCUCGCCCAGAGGCCUAGCGCUGUGGUGCCUUUUGCCAAGUAGAAAGCUGUGAUUCCAGAAAACCAUCGUGAUGCUCUCAGGGCUUCCGAGCAAGACCCAAAUGCCAUGAGACAUGAAAUGCAGUGAGGGGAACUAGUACAUUAAUAAACUGCAUUCUGCAAGCCUAAGUUGCUCAAGUUGGGCUAGGACAGAAAAACAUAAAGAUGUGGGGUGGCUGAGAAAAAGGAAAUUUAGAAAAUAAAUGAUUCACGAUAGGGGUUGUGAGUGAGAUUGUCUCUGGAGACAUCUAAUUAAAGGGUGUUGGAUAACUAAGGGGGUUACAUUUUCCUGGGUCAAUGGUCUUGAAAAAAGAAUUGUGGUUGCAGUAAAUGUCAAUAAAGAUUGAUGGUGACCUACUGCUAACAAGUGCGCAUUCAGUCAUUAACAUGUGCAUGUUUGUUGUUUUUUCUGUGUUUAUGUCAGUCUUUAGUGUACCUUUUCAUACUCUGUUUCCCCCUUUCACUGCAGACAGAUGAUGUAUACUAUUUUCCAUAUCUUUUAGAGAGGAACAAUUUCUAUGAAGUUAUUUCACUCAUGUCUUCCGCUGAAAUUGCAGCAGCUCCACCAGGCUAACUGUGUUUUCAAAGCCUGCUAGACUGUGGAAAACUGCAAAUCCUGCAUGCCAACACAAAAUCAACUGUCUGUAUGUAGCAACAAAUGUAUUGUCACUUUUUGGAAGCCCUGGCUUGCAUUUUGCACGGGUGUCUUGUUGUGCAAAGCAAAAAGCUCUUUAGUUCAAUAGCAUUUACCCCUUUUACUUUUCCUAGCUACACAUGGCUACAGAACAGCACCCCACUGGAGAAUUUGACACAUAAACUUCACUUUCCCUCUCCAAGCAAUGUUCAUAUAAAGCCUUGCUCACCAGUGCCAUUUAAGUUCUGGCUCUGCAGACAUAUAUGGUGCUAAGCAUGUGAAAAGUCCCACAGUGUGUAAGGGGACUUGUCAUGUGUUUAAAUGCUAGCAGACUGAGUCUCCUCAUUGCCUUGUUUUUCCUAGAGACACAAAAAUAAUUUUGUAUUGGCGUGAGAGAUAAAAAUACUAUAUUGAGAAGGACGAAGAGAUAAAAAUAAGCCUUACAGCAUUUAUAAUGCUUUAGUUAGCACGCUACGUGCCCAUUAUGCCACGGCAUUCAAAGUGCACAUAUUCUGUUAUUUACAACACAGUGUGGGAGAUAACCGCUCCAGGUAGUCAAAGCCAGCCAAAUAGAAAACUCAACAAAGCACUCUGGAUACGCCUCUGCCCAUACCACAUGUUUCGGAAAGGCACAAUAAUUGCCAUUUAUCUCACUGGCCGACAUUUUAAAAUGAAUGUUACUAUUUGGCUUAAAGGAAGCAUGAAGUGAAAGCAUCUAUUUCAGAUAUUAUUAUUAUUCUGUUUACCCUGUGAUAAAAUUUGCAGUGACUUUAGUGUGAACCAGAUCCUGCUUGUGCUGGACUGAGAUUGGCACAGAUGGAAAGAAGCUAAAGCCAGGCAGAGACUGGGCACACAGGCUUUGUGAAAACUCACCCAACAACUCUAUGCAGCUUCUGGUACACAAAUACUAUCAAUAAUUUUCUGACCAGCUCAUAAUGGAAGACAGGAUCUUGAUUCUUCUAUAUAAUUCAGAUUGUGAUUUUAUUAUGGUCUCUGUCUAUCUAUCUGUAUAUAAAUAACACCGGAAAACUGGGAAAAAACAACAAGAGUUGAUUUUCAAAGGCAGGAGAAAUAUUGCACCAACAGAAUGAAACCUACUCUUUAAAAAUGGUAUUUUUAUAUCAUGUGUCUUACAUUUUAAAACUCAUUUGCUUCCCAACUUAUUCCCAAGCUGCUUAUAUUCCAGCAACAAAUCCAGGCUGAUCCUGUCUCUAUUGCAAUCAACUGGCUCCACACCUCAAAUCUUGUGUAAAAGUAACUAUUUCUGGACAGUUUUUCUUAAAGUACAGCCAAACUUUGUCAAGCAACGACAACAAAAUGAGGUAGAAAAAACGUGAAUAGAUACAAUUUAGAAGUUAUCCCAUGAAUACUUCAGGGAUAGCUUGUUGCGAAUGCUACAAUGCUAUCCUUGAGGAAAGCUGAGACCCGCACAUGAACAGCUGGUUUGAGCUCGACUCUGUGGGCAGAUUUCCUCGCUACAUGUUACCUUUACUAAUUUCUUAAUUAGGUGGCUUCUCUGCACCACCAUGACUUCAUCACUUUUGAGAGGACUGCCUGGUUGAGCUUAUGGCACUUGACCUACUUUUCAGUGUUUUCUUUAUGGAUAACACAAAACUUUCCAGAGUAUCUGCAUUAUGAAUAUCUAUUUCAAUCAUACUUCAUAUGUAAAUUUAAAAGAUUUUAAAUGGAAUCCAAUAUUGUAAAACAUGUCCCAACAUCCCUUUCUGAGACCUCAUUUGCAUAUCAAUCUCGUUACUUGAAUAGUCUUAAUAGUGCCACUUGUUGGAGAGCUCUGUGUAUUGCAAGGUAUUUCAGUCACGUAUUUAUAAAAACGAAUUGCUUUUUCCUGGGGAUAGGUAAUUCCCAAUUUAAAGUUCUAAGGGAAGAGAUGAAAGUACUAUACAGAACAACUUUUGUUGCCGUCUCAGCUUCAACCGCUCUGACUCGGAAGACUCUAUGAAUGAGUGACAUGUUAGCAGAUCUUAUGCAACUUGAUUUUUACAAUGGUAAUGGAGAAGUGAAAAAGGAAAAAUAAAAACAAAUCUUGCCGGUUUUAACUGAGGCAAUUGUAAUUUCCUUCUGAAGUACAUUUUACCCUGCAAAAUUUGGGUGAAAAAGAUCAACUUCCCUGGAUAAGCAGCCCCAGUCCUGUGCACAGACCUAUGUCAUUAUCAAUAAUUAUGCACAUAUUCUCCUGGGUUGUGAAGGUAGAAUUAAUGAAAUUGCAUCAUUUUCUUUGCAGUGAUUAAGAAAUUCACAGUUGAUUACUGAUUAUACCACAGGCACUGUAUGUCUUUUCGCAACCAUAUUCUAACACACCCCAGGUACAUUGCGUUUCCAGGAGCACUGGCAGUAUGAACAGCACACCCUGAGUCAGUGGCUGUGACGGCUGUGAAGAAGACACUGUCAUGGUGUGUGGUAUCAAAGAUCCACAGUAUAAUGUCUCCGCAGCAUGGCUUGACAUCACAUCAAAAGCUCCACAAAGGAACAUUUGCCACGCAAAAUCUCCAGCAUGGUAUUUUGAGGAGCUGAUGAGAUGUAAUAUAUGAAAUAUAUAGAAAUAUUAACAAAGUGUUGUUGCAAGGACUAAAAUUAUAGUGCUGGGGCAAGGCAGGAAAAAAUGGCAGGCACUGACCUUUAAAAAAAUAGAUGCAGAUAACAGAAAGGGAAUCUAAAGAGCUGUUGACUUUGUAUGUCAAGAAGUCAAGGGUCAGGAAUCAUUAAGGUUUAUGUCUUAUGUCCAAAACAUGCUUUGUGGUCACUAAGUCAAAAAGUAGGGUCUACCCGGUGUUCAUCUUCUUCAAAAAAAAAGAGAAGUAAACUGCUCAGAUCACCUGCUUGCUGAGAUUGCCAGACUUCAGUUUGACAUAAUAAUACAGGAAAAGUACUUGCAACACCUGUGCUAGGCAGAUAGGAUGAAUGACCUCAAGGUUACUCUUUUUAUUGGUUCUAAAGAAGGUCAGAAUUUUUCAGCCCUAAAGCGAACACAAUCCUAUCAUCCUUCUGGUCUCUUGGAGUUCGGUGUCUUGAAAGGCAGUCCAAAUAUAGCCCACAGGGAGUCCUGGAGAUGGCCAGCAAGGACAAGGCUUUGUCCUUGCCCAUUUUGUCUCUAAAUCAGUGCCACCUUCUGAGAUCAUCAUCAUCUCGAUUACUGCUUUCAUUUUUAUUUUAUUUUUUUUUACUUAGUAUAUUUAUUAUUUACAAUUUCUGAAUAACAUUUUAGAAUUUGUAUUUGGAAUUGUAUUUUAAAAUACAAUGAAAAACUAUAUUAUACUUCUAGUGUUUUAAAGGUCAAAUCUUGCAAAUUCCCUGAUUCUGCAGGUCAGGAUGAUCCCAGAGCCUGCUUGCAAAAGCAAGGACAUUCAUAAUGAUGUAUUUAAACCUCACUUCAUGUUCCCCUAUCACUAAGAAUCAGGCAAAUCAGCUCCAAAAGUUGUUUGAGGGCAACUGUGGACAAAGCUCAACCUUGUUUUAGCUUAGCUUGCUCAAAAGCCUUGUAAUCUUUUUUUUUUUUCCCCAACAACCCUCUGUCUUUCCAGCUAUCCAGAAAAGUGAAAAUAUCUGCAGCAAAAUGUGGAAGUGUGGACAAAGCAUCUGUGUUGGCAACAUGGUCCUUUUGCAAACCAAGGGAUGCACAAGAAGGGCUGGACUGUGGAGCCACAGCAGAGGACAUCUUGCUGUUGAUGGAAGGAAGUCACAAGGAGUUUCUUCAGAACUGGCAGUGGUAGUCGGAUAUCUGACUGGAUGCCCGGCUUCUUCUGUGCCUCUGGCAACAUCUCCCUUACUUCAUGUAGCUGAAACUUGACUGGAGCAUAAGAAGGCUCAUGGAGGUUGAGGAUGUUGCCCGGCUGAACAGAAGCCAGAGAAGAACAGUCAGGAGAGCAGCUACAGCAAGUAAUUGUGACCCCUGAUUACUGGAGUGAUUUAAAACUGCUCUUUGCUAUGUUAACUUGAAGUUGUGAACUACAAAGGUCUGCUGUGAAUAGCAUAUGAAUAGAAAAGGGACUCUGUUGGAACUCGCUAUUAUGUUUGAAGUUGGUAGAAACUAGAGGUUGAAAAGACCCACUAGUUCACUGAAUUGAUUCAUUGCACAUGCGAGACAGAAACUCCUUGCGCAGAGAUAUCCUCCCUGUGUUUCUCAGGGAAAAGAAAACAUUGAGAUGUUUCUGGAGAAAAUGCUUUGACACAAUACAAUCCAUUAGGAUGUCUACAUUUUGACCUGGUUUGCCAUCUAAUUUUUGCAUCAAAUUUGCAGUGGCAGUUGCAGAAUGGCUAAAAAAUUAAAGCUUCAUGUAGAACAAAGGUGAUUUAUUAUGUAUUUCCCUUUUUUACAGUGAAAGGAAAUGCUAUUCUGUAGCUGUUGCAAUUCUCUUUUUCUCAGAAGAAUUGUCAGUUUAGUCUAAAUGUAAAUGUUGUGAACACAUAGGUAAGACACAAGGUUGAUAAUAUUUUUUUUAUUAUUUUUAAGUAUAAGCCCAACAAAACAUUUUUAAACAACUGGCAUCCUGCGAUGUCUGAAAUUCAGUAACAAUACGAGUAAAAGCUUGAAAGCAGCUGGUAAAGAAACAAAAUUGGUAAUAUUUGGUUAUUAUUCCAAGCAAAAGGAAAAAAUAAGCAAAUGCUGUAAAGACUGACAAGCAAAUUCCAUUAGAAGAAGUGUCAGUCAUCUAAUAAUUGAAGUUAAUUCAAUUUAUUUAAUUUAACUAGACGUGUAGGCCAAGAAACCUUUUUCGUUUGCUUUCUUUUUUUUUUUUUUUUAAUGGACUUUCAUGGGAAGUUGAUAGAGUUCCUCAAAGGAAUAGACUUGCUAGCUGCAAUUUACGUGUGGCACAGCCUACUUUUGUCUUUAGCUUAUGAAAUUUGGUCUAGUUUGUCAUGACUACUUUCUUUGUUAAAAGGUAAAAUGCACAUUGGGCAAAUGUUCUAUGGCAAUUUGCAUAAAAAGUGAUGACAAAGAGCAAUUAAUUCCUCAUUAUUAUGCAGUGAAAUGCUACUUUGCUCCUAAGUGACUGUAGAGGAGGGGUUUUUCUCUGUGUGUAAAUCUGUUGUGGCAUUGUUCUAAAAAUAGUACUUAAGAGCCCUCUGCACUCUUUGUAAAUCAGGGUCUUUGACACUCCAUUGGAUUCUCCACAGAGAGAUUGUUCUCACACAUGCUGAACACUAAGAAUAUCGCCCCAAAUGUUCAUCACGAUAAUAAGCAUCAGAAUUUUGUUAGAUAAAGCAAGAUAGAGGCAUUUAAUAUUUUGUCAAACUGGAUCUCUAUCCUUUUUAUCUGGAGAUCAGUAUUCAAAGUACACUCAGAUCACACACAAAUAGAAACAUAUUCCUACCACACACAGCUAGUCUGUACAGAACAAAGAGCCAAGAUACCGUUUUCUAUGAAGGCUUGAUUCUGAGUACAGAUUUCAUUACCAGCUCACCAUAGGAUAAUGAAAUUCCUUCAGGGCAAAGAUGAGGUACAUCAAAGAGGCAGUGUGGAAAGGCAGACUUUGUUAGUGCAUGCUCUGUCACCUGCAUACUGGUCCUUGCCUGCCUUUAAUUUGUAAGGAAAUGCUAGUAAUUCAGACCUUUUUAUUGGACCAACUUAUAUUUAUAUAUAUAUAUAUAUAUGUGUAUGUGUAUAUGCACACACAUACAGAAAUAUGUAUUUUUCAAAUUACAAAACCUUCUGCGAGUUGUGUAACUUCUUUGCAGCUGAAACGGAAUGAAGAAAAUAAUUAAUUUCUUCCUGGCAAAAAUGACCCAUGCAGAUACUAAAAAUAUCUUUGCAUUUAGUAA